UACGUAGGGUGCGAGCGUUAUUCGGAAUUACUGGGCGUAAAGCGUGUGCAGGCGGGCUUUUAAGUCCGACGUGAAAUCCCCGGGCUUAACCUGGGAAUGGCGUUUGGGACUGGGAGUCUGGAGUGCGGCAGAGGAGACUGGAAUUCCUGGUGUAGCAGUGAAAUGCGUAGAUAUCAGGAGGAACACCGAUGGCGAAGGCAGGUCUCUGGGACGGUACUGACGCUGAGACGCGAAAGCGUGGGGAGCGAACAGG
rnacentral:rRNA from 1 species